GACAGGCGUUGGAUCCCGCGCCGCCCGCCGCCCUCCCCCUCCUAUCCGUCUCCUGUGCCGCGCACUCUCGGCACCCCCUCCGCCGGCGCGCCGCCUCCGUCCCCUCCUCCGCCAAUCCCUCCACCACUGUCCCCGCUGCUGUGCGCCGUCGCGAUUCCGUGGGAAGCUGCUACCCCCCGCAGUCGUAACCACGCGCCUUCAGGCCUCCCCCGCUGCCAUGCGCCGUCCAGACCACGGGCGUGCAUCGAGCCGUCCCCUAAUCCCGGCGCGUGAGCAGCUGGUGGAUCGAGCCGGCCGGCGGAGUCCCAGCCACGCGCAGCAACUAAUGUGGGACCUUCCCUGGCAUAAGAACACGUAAACAUCGUCGCCGCUGGCCCCGCUGUCCUUGGCUAGAAGAAGUUCCAUACGACGCCAGCUGCUGACAACGGACACAAGCUAGCACGGCUAGGAUGCCGUCGCAAGAAGAUGAAGCGGUGCCCCAGAUCUACUAAUCACAAGGCUGAGACGGUGGUGCAGGCAGCUUGUAGGAAUGUAGGGGAGAUGACUGAUUUACAUCUACCCCUUCUCAGACCUAUGCUGUUGAUGCCGGUCGUUGAGGAGGUACCCAGUGCACAUUUUGCCCUUGUCAAAUAAUGCAUGCCUGCAACUACAGUAGCAAGCAAGGUACCCACCUGACGAUUUCACAGUUUGCAGAGUGUCCAUACUACCAAUUUGUGAAAAUGGUUAAUAAAAUAUGAUUGUAUAUUUAUUGAUUCGCCUCUACCUUAUGUUUGGGUCUUUGUAAUUAGCAGGUUCAGUUCUUGAUGAUAGGAAGCAAGAGCAGCACAACGAGGCAACUGAUCAGCUCCCAAAAAGCAAAGAUCAUUCCUCCAGCCAGCUAGACCAUUUAGUUCGUUUCUUCCAUGUAGGUUAGUUUGUGCCUCUAUUACUGAAGAAAUUAGUUUUCCUUCUGCAUUGCUUACGCUAAAGCAACAUAUUCUUUUCAUCACUUUUCUUAUGCUGGUCAUUUAUUUUUACUCCUUUACUAUAUAUGUUUUUGUCGCAUCACUGUGUUGCUACAGUUUUAAGCUAUUCAAGUAUAGCAGCUUUGUAUUCCUUUUUUAUAUUAUUUUUGAUAUGCUAAAAUCAUAUUGAUCAUAUUCUUUUGUCCAAUCUAAAGAUGCUGCCAAAAUAAUUAGCAUGGGCUCUUAGAAAUUGAAACUAUGCUAUUUUGGCAGACGUAGCUGAUUUCUUUCCAUGGGCUAAAGAGGUUUCAGUGUUAUAUGACCCAAGCAUGCAAAAAUAGAAAAAAAAUUUGUCAUUGUUCUUCUCUGUAGCUUGCAUUUGGACCGGUAAUGCGGUACAUGUAGCAGAUUCCAAAGACGGUCACCAGGUUAUAGACUUAUUGCAGGCAGCUGACUUUUGUUUAGAGGUAUAUACACAGUAGCUGAUUUUCUUGAUCUGCUUAAGUUUCCUUGUCUACUCAGUGAUAGUUGAUCUUGGGACAUUGCAAUAAGUCACUUUGUCAGCUAACUUUGUCUUUCAUGGGGCUCUAGAGAUGAAAUAGUGAAGCUGUUAAAAUGAUGAAAGCAAAUAAUAAAUCAGGCAAUGCAACUAUGGAAGAGAAAUGAUAUCAUUUAUUCUGUUAUUUUUUUCUUUCAUAAUAGCAUCAGGUAAAAGCAACAAGUGAGCAAGCACAACAGGGGAGCCAAAUUUCCAUUCUGCAUUUCACUUUUACCAUAUUGACUUAUGCUUUAUCAUCAGGUGUUAUUCUGAUUAUGUAGUAAAACUACUGGGCAACAAGAUAUGAAUUGUUGCAUCAGGUGAGACAGCUUAUCCUGGUAGCAACUGUCCUACAUUGAGCAGGGGGAAAGGAAGUACUGGUUGCAGGUAUUAACCAUUGCCAGUUGCUUACUUCUGUAAUAUUCGGAAAUAUUUUCGUUGGAGUAUUCCUGACUCCUGUAAAAGUAAGGUCAUCUCAUAUAUGCUGGUUACGUAGCUGAAUAUUCGUAACUAUUUUCAUUAGAACAUUUGGAGCAAAUGAAUUUUGUAAACAAACUACAGCUGUUGUCAUGUGUGAAAUCUUGGGGCACAAUGACACAACUUACAUGCCCAUCUUUUUCCUUGUUCUGUGAUGGAGUUUUUUUACAAUGCCUCAGUGGCCAUCUUACAUAUAUAUGUACAGAUUUCUGAAAUUUUCCAUUGGAACACAUGAUUUGUUGCAUCAGGUAUUGGUCACAAGUAUUAACCACAGUCAAAUCCAUAUUUUAAGAAAAAAACAGACUGAACUCAUGACCGUUCUUUUACUGGCCAAUUUUGUUGUUGCUUAACAUGCGCUUACAUGGCUGUGGUCAGUCUUCAUCACGGUCAAAUGCGCUUGAUGCGAUUUAGUGUUCUAAGGAACCUUUUAAGAUUGGUAUAUACUAUAUGAGAAAUUUUUUACCAGUCACAGUGACCAUCUUACAUAUUUAUGUACAGUUUUCUGAAAUUUUUCAUCAGAACACAUGAUUUGUUGCGUCAGGUAUUGGUCACAGGUAUUAACCACUGCCAAAUCCAUAUUUUAGGGGGAAAAAAACAAACUGAACUCCAUGACCGUUCUUUUACUUGCCAAUUUUGUUGUUGCUUAACAUGCAUUUACAUGGCUGUGGUCUGUCUUCAUUACGGUCAAAUGCGCUUGAUGCGAUUUAGUUGUUCUAAGGAGCCUUUUAAGAUUGGUAUAUACUAAAUGAGAUAAAUUAUUUAUGGAAUUAGUCUUGUGAUUAUUGUUUUUCUAAUUUGGAAAGAACUGAUAAGGGCAUAGUGCUUAUGUAUAGCUCAUAGCAGUGUAAUUUUCCAUUGUCACAUUGGGGCAUUUGCCAUACUUAAAUCUCAUAAUUUGAGAAUGUAUUUGGCGUAGAUGGAUUUUAGUGGAACUCAACAGUUUCUUCCCUUUGGUGGCUGAAUGCACGUAUGCCUAAUAGUAUGUGAUCGUUGUCAUUUUUCAUGUCCCAUGCUAAAAAUACUAGAAAACAUUCUAAUUCUCUUUUGUCAGAUCACAACUUGUGCCAUCAAAAUCAUCGCAAGCCAAUAGGUUUUCUGGUGGCGAUUCAACUUUCAACUAACGGAGGUGAUAUCAAUUCACGAAGACGUAUCCAAAUAAAGGUAUGGGAACGGGAAGUUGGCUGUAUUUGCAAAUGAGCUACACAUAUUGUUGCAUUGAAUGUAAUUAUUACUGUUUGAGUAGCCACCAUGGAUAUUGCAAUGGUAAACAUAUUAUUGUUUUGUUCCCAUAAGAUGCCAAGUACGAAUUCUAAAGUAUGCAAGUAUGGUUGGUGCUUAUGAGA